GUGCCAGCCGCCGCGGUAAUACCGGCAGCACAAGUGAUGGCCGAUAUUAUUGGGCCUAAAGCGUUCGUAGCUGGCCGGACAAGUCCGUUGGGAAAUCCACGCGCUCAACGAGUGGGCGUCCGACGGAAACUGCACAGCUUGGGACCGGAAGGCUUGAAGGGUACGUUCGGGGUAGGAGUGAAAUCCCAUAAUCCCGCACGGACCACCGAUGGCGAAAGCACUUCGAGAAAACGGAUCCGACAGUGAGGGACGAAAGCUAGGGUCUCGAACCGGAUUAGAUACCCGAGUAGUCC
rnacentral:rRNA from 1 species